rnacentral:rRNA from 1 species
UGCCAGCCGCCGCGAUAAUACGGAGGGGACUAGCGUUGUUCGGAAUUACUGGGCGUAAAGCGUGCGUAGGCGGAUCAGCAAGUUGGGGGUGAAAUCCCGGGGCUCAACCCCGGAACUGCCUCCAAAACUGUUGGUCUAGAGUUCGAGAGAGGUGAGUGGAAUUCCGAGUGUAGAGGUGAAAUUCGUAGAUAUUCGGAGGAACAUCAGUGGCGAAGGCGGCUCACUGGCUCGAUACUGACGCUGAGGUACGAAAGUGUGGGGAGCAAACAGGAUUAGAUA